UCUCGGAAGAGAACACCGCUCAAAAUGCUGAACUACCAAACUCUAGACGCCCAUCUAACGCCUUAUAAAAUAUGCCUACUUCUCCUGGUAGAAAAGUAUUGCCUGGAGAAGAAUGGACAGAUACGACGUGAAUUGGGACACUACCUGGUAGAUUCAGUGUUGAACAUCAAAAGUUGUACCGUACCUUCUUUAAGCGAUCUAGAGAGCCAACUUCGCAGCGCCGUCCCGUCGAUGCCGCCGUCGGACUUGCUGUUCGAGAACGUUUGUCAAAAGUUGAAGAUGCUGCGAUCUCCGGACUGCCUGUUUCAAAUGCUGUCGAGACUGUUUUCUGGAUUUACGGACAGAAGUCUUCUGGCCGUCGACAGCAUUCUGGGCCUCUUCGUCUACGAAUUGGGCUGGGCGUUCAAAAACAUGCUGUUCGAUCAACUCUCCGAUCUCUGGGAUUUCACAAAACAAUAUCUACAGGGACAGGGACAUGAGCUGAGGAGUCCCAGUCAGAUCGACGCGUAUAUUUCUUAUGAGUUGGAUCACAUCGAGUCUCACGACGCACCUCUCUUUACGCCUGCCCGGCUAGACCCUGCCAUCGAGAACACCCAGGCGCUCGCGCCAGACCUCGCUAAACCACAUUACUUGCUCUAUCGUGACUGUCUCUACCGCGAAGACCACGCGGGUGCCGUCGACAGGCUCCAUCAGUACUUCGACAAGAUCCAGUCUAAACUCAAUCCGGCGCAGCCCUUUUUCAACCCAGACUUCAAAAACACAAAGUUGGAAGGAGGCGUUUCUUUUAACAGCAGUUUGCCGUACGCCACUCUCAAUCUGGCCGCGACUUACAUCAGGUUUCGACACUACGACGGUGCUCUUGAGCUGGUAACCGAGGCGCUACGCCUCGUCCAACAAAAAGCGGAUGACGUCUGUGUUUACUACGCUCUUUUUUUGAUUGUCAAAAUACUCGAAAAACAAGACGCUCAUGUUCAGCAGUUUGACUUAUUAAGAAAAAUCCUGACGGGCGCGCUGCCCCUCAAGGUCCAUUCACUGACCUCUCAGGUCAUGGUCGAUCUUGCCAAUAAUUAUCUUCUGUGCCUUCGAGAGUACAACUCCCUGGACUAUGCCAAUUACCAACCGAGAAACGAGCCCCCAUCUGCCUGGCGCAUGCUCAACGCCAGCAUGGAGGCGGCCUGCUUCGCUGAGACAGUCUCUGCCUUUCAUCAGCUAAAGAGCUCUUCUCUGCUCUCUCGGUCCCAUGUUUGGGACGUCAUCGGCUACUCUUGUAUGUCUAGUCUCACGGCGAGGAUCCAGACGCGCAUCAGAACGCCCGCGGCUAUCACCGCGAACUGCGACACCUUCGCCGGCGCCUGUAUUUUAGCAAGGCGCCUCGCCGACCAGGGAGACUCGGAAGGCGCCUUUGAGGUCUUGGCUCAAAUAGGAAGGCAGUGUUCACAAUCCGCUGCAUCACAUGCCAACUGGGUACAUAUCACAAGGCAAAUCUUGUACGAAAAUGCCCUGCAUACAAAUAAUAUGCAAGAAGCGCUUGUUCAAGUCGUCCAAUUGGCAGCAGCGGCACCCCACCACGGUUCGACUCGAAGCUACGUAGACAUCAUGUAUCGACUGGCGCUUAUAUGGAUGCGGAAGGGUGCCCUCGACUUAGCGUCUAUGGCCAUACGCAGGGCCAUCAAGGUCUCCUGGGAGAAAGGACUGCGUAUACAUGUCGCCGGUUUUUUUCUGACACUCGCGGAAGUGCACAUGCGCGCGAACAAUCCCAUCGAGGCGUUCUCUCACCUGAUGAGCUGCCUGAAGUUGAGCGAGCAAUAUCACCUCGAGGAAGUGAGAGCAACCGCUGUAGUGUACCUGGCCGAUGUCUAUCUGUCUAAGGGGACGCUAGAGAGUGCGUCAAAAGCCCAAAACCUGCUAGACUCAGUCUUCCCAUUCCUUCUGCAAAAUGGCAAGGCCGUCUUGAAAGCAAAAGCACAAAUUAUAUCUCUGAAGGCCGAGCUACUGUGCGACUCACUGGCUGGAAAGGACAUGACGUCCUCGUGGGAAAAGGCUUUGUACAGGCUCGAGGAAACAGGGGAAACAGCACAAGCAAUUCAAAAUUACGAGAUUUUAUCUGAAAUACAUUAUUUGAGGUCUAGGCUGUAUCAUGCGCUAGAAAGGUUUAGUGAAAGAAAUGCUGCAGCCAGGUCCUUUAGAGCUUUGAAGCAGGAACAAAGAGAGAGGAAUCGAAGGAGGUCGGCGUCGCAGUACUAUCUAGACCUCAAGCUAUUGCAAGGCGCACACAGGAGCAGGUGUCGAUAGGAUGACUUUUACAAAUACAGUAAUAUCAUAUGCUGUCAGUCAUGGCGCAUUUUUUUCUAGCACAAAUAAUCUAAACUGAGUUGCAUACUCUCGCAGCAAGGGGAGACAGGAAGAACGUGCAUGCCCACGGUCUGCAUGCACUCAGAACGCGGGUCUAAGGAAGAAUGACAAUAUGGGCGACACUUUGAACGAGUCCGCCAAGCCUUUGCUUGUGGGUCACCUGCUACUUUUGGACGUACAACCCAUUUUUUUUUGUCACCAGCCUGAGUUGCAAGUGCGAAUAUCGAUUCAUUCGCGGUCGAUAGAGAUAUACAGAAAAAAGAAGAGGCUGAAGUGCAUUUCGUUUGAGCUUUGCUGGUUGAUCGACAAAAUUUCUUCUGGACACGAGAACUACGAUCCUGAACUCUGCUUUGAAGUUAUCGACCCGAGCACGAGAUGGCUAUUUACCACGCGGACCGAGGCGGAGAAGCAGACUUGGGUGGCGGUCAUCGGAGCGAGCAUAACGAAGUAUUUGAACAGUGCGGAGAUGGCCAGCGGGGGAGAAUUGGCAAGUACUUUUACUCGGAGCAUUCAGGGACUUAUGAUGGUGAAUGGUUGUUCG